rnacentral:tRNA from 2 species
CGGAGUGUAGCGCAGUCUGGUAGCGCACCUGGUUUGGGACCAGGGGGUCGGAGGUUCGAACCCUCUCACUCCGACCA